UGGCGGCGUAGGGCAACGGCACGUCUUCCUGGUGCACGCGCAGCGGCGGAGCGUCCAGAUAGUCGAAGGCGUGUUCGAUCACGCGCCGCCACC
rnacentral:tRNA from 1 species